UACGGAGGGUGCAAGCGUUAUCCGGAUUCACUGGGUUUAAAGGGUGCGUAGGUGGGCAGGUAAGUCAGUGGUGAAAUCUCCGGGCUUAACCCGGAACUGCCGUUGAUACUAUCUGUCUUGAAUAUUGUGGAGGUAAGCGGAAUAUGUCAUGUAGCGGUGAAAUGCUUAGAUAUGACAUAGAACACCAAUUGCGAAGGCAGCUUACUACACAGUUAUUGACACUGAGGCACGAAAGCGUGGGGAUCAAACAGG
rnacentral:rRNA from 1 species